GUCUAUGGCCAUGCCACCCUGAACACGCCCAAUCCCGUCUGAUCUCAGAAGCUAAGCAGGGUCGGGCCUGGUUAGUACUUGGAUGGGAGACCACCUAGGAAGACUAGAUGCUGUAGGCA
rnacentral:rRNA from 1 species